rnacentral:rRNA from 1 species
UACGGGGUGGCAAGCGUUAUCCGGAUUCACUGGGUUUAAAGGGUGCGUAGGUGGGUUGGUAAGUCAGUGGUGAAAUCUCCAGGCUUAACUUGGAAACUGCCAUUGAUACUAUCAAUCUUGAAUACCGUGGAGGUCAGCGGAAUAUGUCAUGUAGCGGUGAAAUGCUUAGAUAUGACAUAGAACACCAAUUGCGAAGGCAGCUGGCUACACGAAUAUUGACACUGAUGCACGAAAGCGUGGGGAUCAAACAGG